rnacentral:tRNA from 2 species
GCGGGUGUGGCGGAAUUGGCAGACGCACCAGAUUUAGGUUCUGGCGGGCGACCGUGGGGGUUCGAGUCCCUUCACCCGCACCA